rnacentral:lncRNA from 1 species
AUGAAAGAGCUUAACAUCUUGUGUCUGAAACCUGAUUUGGAUUAUCCAAAAGAAAACUAUCUAACUUUUCUGUCACAUUUGCAGAAUUAGGUACUGUAACAUCACUAAAAGUAAUGACUGAUGUUAUCAAUCAUUAAUCUGGGAACAAAAACCCCCAGGCGCUUGGUGCCAUGUCUGCAACAUCUUCCCUUUAUACAUGUCCUUACAGGAAAGCUGCUUUGGAUGUGCUGUGUGAAAAGAUGUCAGGGACAAGGGUGCCAGACCGAAGGAAUGCACACCAGUGCCUCUGCAGUAGUGAAGGAUGGGAAAGCUUGCUAGCUCUGCGAGUAUACUGCACUGGAAAUUUAGAUAAAGCUUACUGUCCUGUCCAUUGAUGUGUUCAUAAGCAGUAAGGUGGAGAGAGUGCCUCUAAGGUGCAGAGCCUCCAGUACAGAAUGGAAAGAGUGAGAAUGGAGACUGGGAGCUAGGAAACGAGUGAGAAAGAC